rnacentral:tRNA from 1 species
GCCCUAAUAGUAUAACUAUUACCUUGGUCUUGUAAACCAAAAAUGAAGACA